GCAAGUCGCACGAGAACUCUUCUGCUUGCAGAAGAUAGUAAAGUGGCGCACGGGUGAGUAACGCGUGGGUAAUCUACCCUUGAAUUCGGGAUAACUUCGCGAAAGCGGGGCUAAUACCGGAUAACAUCCUUUGUCCUUCGGUACAUUGGAUCAAAGGUGGCCUCUACAUGUAAGCUAUUGUUUGGGGAUGAGCCCGCGUACCAUUAGCUUGUUGGUAGGGUAAUGGCUCACCAAGGCGACGAUCCCUAGCUGGUCUGAGAGGAUGAUC
rnacentral:rRNA from 1 species